rnacentral:rRNA from 1 species
UGGUCGGACACCAAGCCUGUGUGAAGCUCUUUCGACGAGUCGAGUAGUUUGGGAAUGCUGCUCUAAAUGGGAGGUAAAUCUCUUCUAAAGCUAAAUACCGGCCAGAGACCGAUAGCGCACAAGUAGAGUGAUCGAAAGAUGAAAAGCACCUUGAAAAGGGGGUUAAAUAGUACGUGAAAUUGUUGAAAGGGAAGCACUUAUGACCAGACUUGGGCCGGGCGGCUCAUCAGGGGUUCUCCCCUGUGCACUCCGCCCGGCACAGGCCAGCAUCGGUUCUCGUGGGGGGAUAAGACCGUCAGGAACGUAGCACCCUCCGGGGUGUGUUAUAGCCUGGCGGACGAUACCCCCGUGGGGACCGAGGUCCGCGGAUGCUG